rnacentral:rRNA from 1 species
ACCCGCACAAGCGGUGGAGCAUGUUGCUUAAUUCGACGCAACGCGAAGAACCUUACCGGGUUUGACGUGCAUCGGACAGGUGUGGAGACACACCCUCCUUUCGGGGCCGGUGCAUCAGGUGCUGCAUGGUUGUCGUCAGCUCGUGCCGUGAGGUGUCGGGUUAAGUCCCAUAACGAGCGCAACCCUUAUCGUUAGUUGCCAGCUGGUAAAGCAGGGGACUUUAGCGAAACUGCCACCGUAAGGUGAGAGGAAGGUGGGGAUGACGUCAAAUCAGCACGGCCCUUAUGUCCAGGGCUACACACGUGUUACAAUGGCCGGCACAGAGGGCAGCUACCUGGUGACAGGAUGCUAAUCUCGAAAACCGGUCUCAGUUCGGAUCGAAGUCUGCAACUCGACUUCGUGAAGCUGGAUUCGCUAGUAAUCGCGCAUCAGCCAUGGCGCGGUGAAUACGUUCCCGGGCCUU